AUUGAACGCUGGCGGCAGGCUUAACACAUGCAAGUCGAGCGGGGAAGGGUAGCUUGCUACCUAACCUAGCGGCGGACGGGUGAGUAAUGCUUAGGAAUCUGCCUAUUAGUGGGGGACAACAUUCCGAAAGGAAUGCUAAUACCGCAUACGCCCUACGGGGGAAAGCAGGGGAUCUUCGGACCUUGCGCUAAUAGAUGAGCCUAAGUCGGAUUAGCUAGUUGGUGGGGUAAAGGCCUACCAAGGCGACGAUCUGUAGCGGGUCUGAGAGGAGGAUCGGCCACACUGGGACUGGGACACGGACCAGACUCCUACGGGAGGCAGCAGUGGGGAAUAUUGGACAAUGGGGGGAACCCUGAUCCAGCCAUGCCGAGUGUGUGAAGAAGGCCUUUUGGUUGUAAAGCACUUUAAGCGAGGAGGAGGCUACCGAGAUUAAUACUCUUGGAUAGUGGACGUUACUCGCAGAAUAAGCACCGGCUAACUCUGUGCCAGCCGCCGCAGUAACAC
rnacentral:rRNA from 1 species